GCAGGGCUGGCAAACCCCAGAGAGGGGGGAGUGCCAGGAGGUAGGACAGGGCUCAGGGGAAAGGCAGUGAGCUUUAAGAGGGAACAGACCUUGACUGCUGGCUAGAGGGUCCCUGAGCCAGAACCCGGAGCUCCCAGGUUCCCCUGCCAGCUGCUGAGGGAGCAGCACUAUGAGGUAGUGCAUGGGAAGACUACCUGAGCCUGUUUGUGGGAAGAGGCUUUCCAGUCCCAGAAAGGAAAACCAUUUGGUAUCCUGGCCAAGUCAGAAAGACCUGCAGACCCAGAAAGAAAGAGGUGGAGAGAGAGAAUGCAACCGCAGAAAGAGGCACUGCGCUCAUGAGCUAUUCCCCGGAGUGAGCAGGAGGAGGUGCCAUCCCUGCACUCCCCGAUGGAGAAGAUCAGUCACAGAGAGCCAUCCUCCCUGUGGAGAAGACGCACAGCUGUCUCAAUUCAAGCAAGCCCCAGAUUUCAAGGUCUCAGGCUUAGUUCAUCAGUAUCUGCAAAGCAUUCUGCGAGCUUCGAACGAAGAGCGCUAUGAAACCACAGAGAAUUAGGGGACUUAAAUCCAAGCGCUUUUACUCUGCAUCAGGCUUCUGCAAAUCACUUGACCCUCUUCAGAACCUAUGAAACCAAACACCGACGAACUGAGAUAGAGACACCUGCUAUGGGCACAGCCCCCUCCGCUGAAAAUGAGACGACGUUUGAAUGUGUGGGGGUCAGAAUAACUAGUGUGGCGUCAAGCACACAAAUCGGAAUGGUUAUGAUGGUUUCAGCUGGGAAGGGGGAUGCCCUGCUGCGAGCACACACAGGUGUAAUGCUGACCAGCUGAACUGAUGUUGAUUUCAGCCUGUCCCUAUCUGCACGGCCUGCAAAGCACUGUCCAUUAAUAUGACUCCUCAAGGUCGUAUUCCAAUGUGCCCUUGCUUUCACUGAAGACUAGCCCUCUGUCAACCUGGUUCUCCACUGCCUUGCUUAGUUAUUUGUGCACAGUGGGUGUACAGGGCUACCCAAUCAGAACAGGUGUGUGCUGGUUUCUUUAACCCAUCUUGCCUAUGUAUAAAUGACGGCAAAAGGUGCAAAUCAGGCCUGGCACCUCAACAGGAAAUUUACAGUGUGCAGAAUCGGCCCUGUCCACCCUCUGAGCCUUCUGCAUGAGGCAUUCCAGUUGGUUAAGCAUUCGGGCUCAGGCCCUGUGCUGAGUCCAGUGCAUUCCACAUAAACCAGGGCACUGUGCUGCCAUGUAUGUUAUUUCCACAUCCUAACGGUUCUCACACACACAUUUCAUUGCCCUCAAAUGGCACUGGCGAUGCACAUUUCUCUCUGUCUCUUUCCCCCAAAGCAACGCAUGUGGCUUCCCAGACAGCUGUGCAGAGGAGCAGAAAAGCUUGGGAAAGAAAUGCUAAUAUGUGCCAUACGGUCAAACUCAUGCCAUGUUUCUGAAGGUUAAAUUUAUACACAGUGUCUCUUUCAGUGAGAAUGUCAGUGACUAGCACAUGAAAUUACUGCCCAAAGGGGGGUGGGGGUGUUUGUAUAAACUGUGGGAAAUCUGACCGUGGAUUUCUUCUCUUUACUGAUCUUGCCUCUGAUUCUUAAGUUUACUUCCUUGCAUGUCUUGUUUCUCUUGUUCAGAUAUAUGCAGAUGUGAAUA